GGGGGAGUGCUUUCGUUUCGUGGUGCUGCGAAGCGUAAGAGCUGCGCUGACCGGGCAUUGUAAUCAGGCGUCAUCAACAAUAAUUCCAAAUACGGUUAACUGUGCUGUGUUGGGAUGCAACAACGAGUCAAGGCGGAAAGCUGACUGUGGUGAAAACACGACGAAAGUCAGUUUUUUUUUCUGUUCCGACUGUUGUUCGUCGGCUGUGCAACCAGACCCUCGAGGUCUCAACGAAACGUCGGGCGGAAUGGUUUCGUCGCCUCAACCGUGGUGACAUUAAUACCAACGCUACUCACUACAAGGUCUGCAGCGAGCACAUCGUUUCUGGAAGGCCAUCCUACCUGAUGGACGUUACAAACCCAGACUGGGCACCCAGCUCACACUUGGGGUAUGACAGAAACUCAACUGCUAAAUCUGAAGCAAGGCACCAGCGACGUUGCAAGAGGGCUGCGACCUCAAAGGAGAUCCAAGAGGGCAAUAGCAGAGUUCUCCAGCCUUCAAAUGUGUUGAACGUGCAGCACAGCGCUUUGUGCAGAACUGUCACGGGUACAAUGGCUUAUUCAUACAUGGGGACUAUUUCCUUUAAUGACAUUCAGCAUCUUUAUAGCACCUUGAUUCUAUACAGGCACACCACUUGCACGCCCUGUCUCUCUGGACACACUUCGGCUGUCGAAAGCUUCUUUGGAGCAUGACAACACCCGUGUGCAAUUUUACACGGGCCUACCAAGCUUCACAGUUCUUCACAGCUUCACAGUUCCGGGCAACAGCAGAGUUCUCCUAAUUUUUACUUAUGUGACGACCACGAAUCCGAAUAUCCUGAACGUAGUUUUUU